GAUGAACGCUAGCGGCAGGCUUAACACAUGCAAGUCGAGGGGCAGCAUAAAUAGUAGCAAUACUAUUGGUGGCGACCGGCGGACGGGUGCGUAACGCGUAUACAACCUUCCCUAAACAGGGGGAUAAUCUGGAGAAAUUCGGUCUAAUACCCCAUAACAUCAGAGCAGGCAUCUGUUUUGGUUAAAAUUUCCGGAGGUUUAGGAUGGGUAUGCGUAGCAUUAGCUAGUUGGUGAGGUAACGGCUCACCAAGGCGACGAUGCUUAGGGGGACUGAGAGGUUAACCCCGCACACUGGUACAGAGACACGGACCAGACUCCUACGGGAGGCAGCAGUGAGGAAUAUUGGUCAAUGGGCGGAAGCUUGAACCAGCCAUGCCGCGUGCAGGAUGACGGCUCUAUGAGUUGUAAACUGCUUUUGUACGAGGGUAAAGUGGGCUACGUGUAGCCUUUUGAAAGUAUCGUACGAAUAAGGAUCGGCUAACUCCGUGCCAGCCGCCGCGGUAA
rnacentral:rRNA from 1 species